UGAAAAAGUGGGCUGUGCAGGAAAAUGGGGAGGAGGCCAAACAUCGGGGGAAAUAGGGAGAAUGGGAGGCUGAGGGGGAACAAUGAGAGCCUGAGUCUGAGUCUGAAUAGGAUGUGGGUGAACAGGAGCCGGGAGAAUGGGAGGCUGAGGGGGAACAGGAGCCGGGAGAAUGGGAGGCUGAGGGGGAACAAUGAGAGUCUGAGGUACCGAAUGAUAUGGGUGAACAUGCUGUCCAGAUGGCUGUCCAGAUGGCUCGGCAUGAGGCUGAAAUGAAGCUAAUGUCUGAGGUACCGAAUGAUAUGGGUGAACAUGCUGUCCAGAUGGCUGUCCAGAUGGCUCGGCAUGAGGCUGAAAUGAAGCUAAUGUCUGAGGUACCGAAUGAUAUGGGUGAACAUGCUGUCCAGAUGGCUGUACAGAUGACUCGGCAUAAGGCGGAGCUAUGGUCUGAGGUACCGAAUGAUAUGGGUGAACAUGCUGUCCAGAUAGCUCGACAGGAGGCUGCAAUGGCGGUGUCGUCUGUGAUCCCGAUACAGGAAUAACGUCUGCCAGCUGUAAAAAUCCAAAUAUGAAGUAAAUUUGCAUGGGUGAGCAAAC
rnacentral:lncRNA from 1 species